rnacentral:rRNA from 1 species
CGAAAGCCUGACGGAGCAACGCCGCGUGAGGGAUGAAGGCCUCUGGGCUGUAAACCUCUUUUAUCAAGGAAGAAGAUCUGACGGUACUUGAUGAAUAAGCCACGGCUAAUUCCGUGCCAGCAGCCGCGGUAAUACGGGAGUGGCAAGCGUUAUCCGGAAUUAUUGGGCGUAAAGCGUCCGCAGGCGGCCCUUCAAGUCUGCUGUUAAAAAGUGGAGCUUAACUCCAUCAUGGCAGUGGAAACUGAUGGGCUUGAGUGUGGUAGGGGCAGAGGGAAUUCCCGGUGUAGCGGUGAAAUGCGUAGAUAUCGGGAAGAACACCAGUGGCGAAGGCGCUCUGCUGGGCCAUCACUGACGCUCAUGGACGAAAGCCAGGGGAGCG